rnacentral:rRNA from 1 species
AGAGUUUGAUCCUGGCUCAGAUUGAACGCUGGCGGCAGGCCUAACACAUGCAAGUCGAGCGGUAGAGAGAAGCUUGCUUCUCUUGAGAGCGGCGGACGGGUGAGUAAUGCCUAGGAAUCUGCCUGGUAGUGGGGGAUAACGUUCGGAAACGGACGCUAAUACCGCAUACGUCCUACGGGAGAAAGCAGGGGACCUUCGGGCCUUGCGCUAUCAGAUGAGCCUAGGUCGGAUUAGCUAGUUGGUGGGGUAAUGGCUCACCAAGGCGACGAUCCGUAACUGGUCUGAGAGGAUGAUCAGUCACACUGGAACUGAGACACGGUCCAGACUCCUACGGGAGGCAGCAGUGGGGAAUAUUGGACAAUGGGCGAAAGCCUGAUCCAGCCAUGCCGCGUGUGUGAAGAAGGUCUUCGGAUUGUAAAGCACUUUAAGUUGGGAGGAAGGGCAGUAAAUUAAUACUUUGCUGUUUUGACGUUACCGACAGAAUAAGCACCGGCUAACUCUGUGCCAGCAGCCGCGGUAAU